rnacentral:tRNA from 1 species
CUGGGUGUUCGAGGCGGUCGGCCUGAACCUGGCGGCCUUCGACGCCGCCGACGCCGUCCAUGUCAUGCAGCAGCGGUACGACUACGCCUCGCCCGAGC